rnacentral:snRNA from 1 species
GUGCUUGUUUCAGCAGCACAUGUACUAAAAUUGGAAGCAUACAGGGAAGAUUAGGAUGGCCCCUGUGCAAGAAUGACAGUGUUCCAUAUAAAAAUUAAUAAAAACAGU